CUCAAGGAGGAUGACCUUGAGGAAAUAAUGACCCAAGUACCAACCGAUGGUGAUAGAACAGUUGGUCUGAAUGAUGUGAUGGAUGCUAUCAGUGGGUUCAGGGGAGAGGUGAUUGAUAUCCAGGACUUAGACAAAUUUCUAGUGAGUGAGGGGAUCGAGCUCACAGAAGAAGACAUGAAGGAGCUGAUGUCUCAUUUGACUGUUAAUGGUGAGG